GACGAACGCUGGCGGCGUGCUUAACACAUGCAAGUCGAACGGAAAGGCCCUGCUUUUGUGGGGUGCUCGAGUGGCGAACGGGUGAGUAACACGUGAGUAACCUGCCCUUGACUUUGGGAUAACUUCAGGAAACUGGGGCUAAUACCGGAUAGGAGCUCCUGCUGCAUGGUGGGGGUUGGAAAGUUUCGGCGGUUGGGGAUGGACUCGCGGCUUAUCAGCUUGUUGGUGGGGUAGUGGCUUACCAAGGCUUUGACGGGUAGCCGGCCUGAGAGGGUGACCGGCAACAUGGGGGCGGAGUAGCGCAGGAGAGUGCGAGAGGGGGAAGCGGGGGUGAGUGAGGCAGAGGGGGCGGAGGCUGGAGGCAGCAGCUGCGGGUGGGGGAUGGAGGCUUUCGGGUUGAGACACGCUGUGGCGUGGGGUGAGGAGUGAGUGAUGGUGAUGGAGAAAGAAGCACCGGCACACCGAGUGACAGCAGGCGGGGUAAUAGGGGGAGGAGAACCCGACUGAAC
rnacentral:rRNA from 1 species